CCUACGGGGUGCAGCAGUGGGGAAUAUUGCACAAUGGGGGACACCCUGAUGCAGCGACGCCGCGUGAGCGAUGCAGUAUUUCGGUAUGUAAAGCUCUAUCAGCAGGGAAGAAGAUGACGGUACCUGACUAAGAAGCCCCGGCUAACUACGUGCCAGCAGCCGCGGUAAUACGUAGGGGGCAGGCGUUAUCCGGAUUUACUGGGGGUAAAGGGAGCGUAGACGGCGAUGCAAGCCAGAUGUGAAAGCCAGGGGAUCAACCCCGGGACUGCAUUUGGAACUGUGUGGCUGGAGUGUCGGAGAGGCAGGCGGAAUGCCUAGUGUAGCGGUGAAAUGCGUAGAUAUUAGGAGGAACACCAGUGGCGAAGGCGGCCUGCUGGACGAUGACUGACGUUGAGGCUCGAAAGCGUGGGGAGCAAACAGGAUUAGAUACCCUUGUAGUC
rnacentral:rRNA from 1 species